GUGCCAGCCGCCGCGUAAUACGUAGGGUCCGAGCGUUGUCCGGAAUUACUGGGCGUAAAGAGCUCGUAGGUGGUUUGUCGCGUUGUUCGUGAAAACUCACAACUCAAUUGUGGGCGUGCGGGCGAUACGGGCAGACUUGAGUACUGCAGGGGAGACUGGAAUUCCUGGUGUAGCGGUGGAAUGCGCAGAUAUCAGGAGGAACACCGGUGGCGAAGGCGGGUCUCUGGGCAGUAACUGACGCUGAGGAGCGAAAGCGUGGGGAGCGAACAGGAUUAGAUACCCUGGUAGUCCACGCCGUAAACGGUGGGUACUAGGUGUGGGUUUCCUUCCUUGGGAUCCGUGCCGUAGCUAACGCAUUAAGUACCCCGCCUGGGGAGUACGGCCGCAAGGCUAAAACUCAAAGAAAUUGACGGGGGCCCGCCACAAGCGGCGGAAGCAUGUUGGAAUUAUUUCGAUGCAACGCGGAAGAAACCUUACCUGGGUUUUGCACAUGCCACAGGACCGCCGCCAGAGAGAUGUCGGGUUCCCUUGGGGCCCUGUGUGCAGGUGGUGCAUGGCUUGUCGUCAGCUCGUGUCGUGAGAUGUUGGGUUAAGUCCCGCAACGAGCCGCACCCCUUUGUCCUUAUGUUGCAGCGGGUUAAUGCGGGGACUCGUAGGAGACUGCCGGGGUCACUCGGAGGAAGGUGGGGAUGACGUCAAGUCAUCAUGCCCUUAUGUCCAGGGCUUCACACAUGCUACAUGGCGGUACAAGGGCUGCGAUGCCGUGAGGUGGAGCGAAUCUUCAAAGCGUCUCAGUUCGAUCGGUCUGCACUCGACCGUGAGUCGAGUCGCUAGUAUCGCAGAUCAGCACGCGUGCGUGAUACGUCC
rnacentral:rRNA from 1 species